rnacentral:rRNA from 1 species
GAUGAACGCUGGCGGCGUGCCUAAUACAUGCAAGUCGAGCGAACAGAUGAGAAGCUUGCAUCUCUGAUGUUAGCGGCGGACGGGUGAGUAACACGUGGGUAACCUACCUAUAAGACUGGGAUAACUCCGGGAAACCGGGGCUAAUACCGGAUAAUAUUUUGAACCGCAUGGUUCAAUAGUGAAAGACGGUUUCGGCUGUCACUUAUAGAUGGACCCGCGCCGUAUUAGCUAGUUGGUAAGGUAACGGCUUACCAAGGCGACGAUACGGAGCCGACCUGAGAGGGUGAUCGGCCACACUGGAACGGAGACACGGUCCAGACUCCUACGGGAGGCAGCAGUAGGGAAUCUUCCGCAAUGGGCGAAAGCCUGACGGAGCAACGCCGCGUGAGUGAUGAAGGUCUUCGGAUCGUAAAACUCUGUUGUUAGGGAAGAGCAAGUUUGUUAGUAACUGAACAAGUCUUGACGGUACCUAACCAGAAAGCCACGGCUAACUACGUGCCAGCCGCCGCCGUAA